UACAGAGGGGCAAGGCAGUUAUUCGGAAUUGAUUGGUGCGUAAAGGGCGCGUAGGCGGCUUGGCAAGUGGAUGGUGAAAUCCCUCGGCUCAACCGAGGAACUGCCUUGGAAACUGUCUGGCUCGAGGCCGGGAGAGGGUAGUGGAAUUCCCAGUGUAGCGGUGAAAUGCGUAGAUAUUGGGAGGAACACCGGUGGCGAAGGCGGCUACCUGGACCGGAUCUGACGCUGAUGCGCGAAAGCGUGGGGAGCAAACAGG
rnacentral:rRNA from 1 species